ensembl:lncRNA
UGAUGCUAAAAUGAACAUUUAUAAUGACUGCUGUUGCUGUCGCAAAAUAAGAAUCCUUAAAAAAAGACCUCAUAUAUAUUAGCACUAGAUUGCCCACUUCACUGGUAAUCCACAAGUCAAGAAACACAACUCACUAGGUUUUUUUCUCUUUACAAACACAAUGCUACAAUUACAUUAAAUAUUCAGUAAUCUUUAAGUCAGUUAAUGAAUGUUGUUAAAAGCAACCACUAAAUACUAAAAAUAAAAACAAAACAAUUAUAAUAUUAAUUCACCUUUUUCCAGUCGUUCCCUUUUUCUCGUUGUGUUGUUAUUUAUUAAUAGUAUAAUAAUAGUCUGAGAAAUAAAUAGCUCAUGUGGUGUUCUCAAGGCAAUGGGGCAGGCAGCAUAAAUCAAGAGUGGAGCUCAGAGCAAUGCAAUGAAAUGGUGGAGUCUAAUCUCACACAGUCACUUUAAUAGUUUCAACAUGUCUUUGAUGUGGAGGCGAAAUAUGGAGAUAUGAUACAAGUUUGGUUCUGCAGGCAGCGGAGUGGUUGAGCGGCACCUGCAGAGGUUAAUCAUCUCUAAACUAUCCUUCUAUGUUAUGUAAACUAGGACUGUAUUGCACAAAAGUUAGCAGCUCAUCUUCCUCAUUUUGUAGCCCGGGAGAAGCUUAAUUUCUUCUUCUUUUGUUUUUCAAUUUUCCGCCUCCGCCUCCCUGUUUUUGUUUUUCUUUCUCCGACUUGGAGGAGCUGAGUCGAGCCGUCUUCCACGAUGAUAUGUCUCUAACAUGACCAAGCGUUUUCAAUCACUAUGGCUUGAUGAUUAAAAAGAUACUAGUGCCACUACAACUCACUGUUAAGAAACAUCAACAAAUGUACAAAAGCAAGCCUACGUUGAGAAUGGCUCGGACUAUUUCUCAAGAUUAGUAUUAUUAUUUGAUGAGCACACUUAUCUAAAAAGUUGGCUAGCCGACAUGAACGCUAAACAGCGAAUACAGUAGGUAAAUCAACACUAAUAACAACAGCACAGGUUAACACAGUAGAACUAGCAUAGCCGAUUAUACAGGCAGACCUAAGUAUCGGAUACAGAGGAUGAAAAGUGUUACGAUCGUCUACCGCGUCCACUAGUUUCUCUUUAUGCUGCCCGCCCCUUUCUGCUCAACACUUCUCUCUUUACACCUCGGCAAAAAAUCUGACAAAAAUAUUUACAAUGAGAGAGAAAAAAAAUGAAAUUGUGGAGAAACAAUUGUUUAGUGUUUUAUCCUUUUUUUGUUUGUCUGCAUUUUUUAAAAUAUUUUUUUCUUCCUUUCAUAUGUUUUUUUUUGUUCUUUUUUGACUUAUAGCUCCGAGAACUGUCCCCAAUGGUGAGCAACAAACAAACAAACAAAAAAAUCCAAUCAUAUCAGCUAGCAUUGCACAGUCUCAGAGAGGUUUUGGGGAUGGAAUGGAGAGUUAUCGUCCAAACAGUUGGAUGAACACAGAAGGGGGGUAGGAGGAGGAGGAAGAAGGUCAAUAAAGUUCAUGAGGGGGUGAAAGUUCAAAAAGUUCAAGAAGACA